CAUACUUUGGUUAAAUGUGCCUCUGACCAUCAAAUUUCUCAUUCAUUUCCAAAAUGGCGGACGAAGAGACGCGAAAACGUGCUAAGGACUCUUCAGAGGACAGCGCCGACGAAGGAGAAGACGGAGAAGAAGAUGUGAUUGGUCCAAUGCCAGCACCUCCUCCUAAAGCUAAGAAAAGGAGAGUCCUAGAGUUUGAGGAAGUUUACCUGUGUAACUUACCUUCUGCUGAAUCCUAUGAGAGGAGCUUUAUGCAUCGUGAUGUCGUCUCACAUAUACUUGUCACUAUAACGGAUUUUCUCAUAACGGCAAGUUGUGAUGGACACAUCAAGUUUUGGAAAAGACAAGAUGAUGGGGUUGAAUUUGUGAAGCACUUCAAAGCACAUAUGGGAAUGAUUCAUUGUAUUGCGGCAAGUGCUGACGGACAGAUCAUGUGUUCCACAGCUGAGGAUAAAUCACUGAAAGUGUUUGAUGUCGUCAACUUUGAUAUGAUCAACAUGUUAAGACUAAAUUAUGAACCUGGGCGAUGUGAAUGGAUUUUCCCACCUGGAGCUGCAGUGGCUGCUGUUGCAUGCUCAGAGAAAGAGACUGGAAUGAUUCAUGUUUAUGAUGGAAGAGGGAGCAGCACACCCCUUCACACAGUAAAUCUUCACACAAAACCAAUCACAUUUAUCAAGUACAAUGCUGUUUAUGAUGUGGCUGUGUCAGCAGAUGAGGCAGGCAUGAUUGAGUACUGGUCUGGUAUCAAACAUGAUGUACAGUUCCCCAAAAAUGUCAACUUUGAAUUUAAGACAGAUACAGACCUCUUUGAAUUUAUUAUGUGCAAGACGUUUCCCAUAUCUUUAGCAUUCUCACCAGAUGGAAAAUUAUUUGCCACGCUAGCGAUGGACAGAAAGGUAAGAGUGUUCAGAUUUUUAACUGGGAAGAAAACACGGGUAUUUGACGAGUCACUGCAAGUCUUUACAGAGAUGCAACAGCAAAAACAGCAACUUCCUGAUAUGGAAUUUGGCAGACGCAUGGCAACAGAGAGAGACCUAGAAAAGACGGAUACUUUGCGGUUCUGUAAUUAUUUGAUGAUAGUGGAUAUUUCGUGCUGUAUGCCACAAUGCUAGGAAUCAAAGUUAUCAACCUUCACACCAACAGAUGUGUAAGGACGAUAGGCAAGAUGGAAAAUGUUCGUUUUGUUCAACUCGCUCUACAUCAAGGCAAGGCCAAGAAAAGUAAAGCUGCAGUCACAAUGGAAAUGGAGGCAUCAGAAAACCCU
rnacentral:misc_RNA from 1 species